GACGAACGCUGGCGGCGUGCUUAACACAUGCAAGUCGAACGGAAAGGCCCUGCCUUUGUGGGGUGCUCGAGUGGCGAACGGGUGAGUAACACGUGAGUAACCUGCCCUUGACUUUGGGAUAACUUCAGGAAACUGGGGCUAAUACCGGAUAGGAGCUCCUGCUGCAUGGUGGGGGUUGGAAAGUUUCGGCAGUUGGGGAUGGACUCGCGGCUUAUCAGCUUGUUGGUGGGGUAGUGGCUUACCAAGGCUUUGACGGGUAGCCGGCCUGAGAGGGUGACCGGCCACAUUGGGACUGAGAUACGGCCCAGACUCCUACGGGAGGCAGCAGUGGGGAAUAUUGCACAAUGGGCGGAAGCCUGAUGCAGCAACGCCGCGUGCGGGAUGACGGCCUUCGGGUUGUAAACCGCUUUCGCCUGUGACGAAGCGUGAGUGACGGUAAUGGGUAAAGAAGCACCGGCUAACUACGUG
rnacentral:rRNA from 1 species